GCCUUGCUAGCUCAAUCGGUAGAGCGUGAGACUCUUAAUCUCAAGGUUGCGGGUUCGACCCCCACGUGAGGCU
rnacentral:tRNA from 1 species